rnacentral:misc_RNA from 1 species
GCCCAUCCACGCUCGGUUGCCUCGCCACGUCCCCUGCGGCGGGCGCUGGCCCGAUGCGGACAUUGGCCCUCCGAGCCGCGAGGCGCGGUGGACCUAAGUGUGCGGCCGUCGUAUGUGGCCGGGAGCGGCGAGUGGUGGGCUACUGCGCACGCCACCCCGAGCCCCAUGCCGACAGAGGGCCUUGUUUGACCCCCUAACGAAGAGCGUGUCGUCGCGGCUUCUUGCUGUGCGGCAUCUUCGGACC